GGUUGCAGUGUGACACAGUGUUACUUGACAGAGUACUUGAGCAAGGAGAUGCACUUUAUGUUGGCAUUAAACAGCAGCUCAUGUUGGACGGUAGAUUUGUUGAUAAUCACUUGACAGUUGAAGAGAUGCCCCAACAAGUACUGACAGACGGGAACAUCUACACUGUACACACAACAGGUGUAAGAGUUGGUCAUGUUUUGUGUCAGAAUGAUAGCCCUCAAAGAUCAUGGCUAAUUGGAUUGCCUCUUGCUUCACAACUAGAGUGUCUGUCUGAAAAUGUCACCCAUGCUUUUCUUUUGGUGACUCCAGAGUGUAUUGCAGUUUUCCGGGACAGAGACGGUAGGUUUGGAGUUUUUGAUUCUCACUCCAGAAACUCAGCAGGCCUGCCCUAUCCUAACGGAACUGCAGUAGUCAUGACUUUUAGCGACCUAACGCUCAUGGUUGAACAUCUGUACAAACUCUUUGAGAACCGUGGCCCCUGUGCCACGUAUGAGUUUGUACCAGUAUCGUUUGUCAGCGACGACAUUGGUGAUGCCCCUCCUCCGGCCUUGAGCAAUCUGAAUAUUUCACCUGGAUCCACACAAGCAAGCCCAGGUGUUGAGAAACCAGAGAGCACUUCUAAUGAAGAGGAAAUGCCAGCUUGGCUUGCUGAAGUUGGAAAGAAGUCCGAUGUCAACCAACAGGACGAGAUGAAAAAGAUCAUGCAAGCCUUUUCAAAACAGUUAGUGCUCAAGAGUCAGUAGCCCGUACAUGUAGUCUACCCCUUAAAAAGUCAUCACGCAGUGUCAUUUUUAUCCAAACUGAUGAAGACUGUGUGAAAAUGAGCCUUCCCAUGAGCAAACUGAUGAACAUGGCCCCAGAUGAAGAGAAUGUUUGGAUGACAGGAUUGCCUGAAAAAUAUCUCGUUUGGAAUGCGUAGCGGAGCGACCCUCAAUCGAUGAAAAUGAAGAACAAGACCCUGUCCCAGAAUACCAAGUUGAUGUCAACAGUGGAGCCGUGCCAGCAAUCAAAAUACCCAAAUUGAGCCCUGAUUUUAUUAGACAAAUAGUAGUUUAAAUGAGACUCAAGCGUCCAUCAAAAUCCAGACCCGUUCUUUUAUUUUUUGACUGGAGGGGCGGGCUGUGGCAAGUCUCAUGUUAUCAAAUGUGUUUACCAGGAAGCAACCAAGCUCUUGCGCCAGCUUCCCAGAUUUGGUGAUAUUGGUGACAUGUCUCAGCCCACGGUACUCCUCACAGCUUUUACUGGAACUGCAGCUUACAACAUCUCAGGCAAGACUUUACAUUCAGUUUUGAAGCUACCCAAAAGCUUAAAGCCACCAUACAAAAGACUUGGAAAUACACUGGAUGAAGUGAGAGCCGUUCUUUCCAAUGUAGAAAUCUUAAUCAGCAAUCAAGGAGUUGUUUGGAAGCAAAGGAUUUACUCAACUCAUCUCGGAUCCAACAACGGAAAGGCAGACUCUCAUUGACCACAUUUACAUAUCUCAGCCAGAAUAUUGUGUUCAGUCAGGUGUGUUGCAGACUUAUUACAGUUACCACCACCCUGUAUAUUGUAUUUUGGCUUCAUUUUCAGCUGCAUCUUCACCAUGACUUGAGAGGAGGGCUGGGAAACAAAUUACACUAGGACAAUAGUCCUGUCAUUUUUAAUGGUACUCCAUCUUAGGUAAAAACACCAAAGUGAGAACAAAUAAUCAGAAUCAAAUGUCCUCAGUGAUUCGCUUGGAUACUGGAAAUCCAGUUGAUGUAUUUAACAGGUAAUAAGAAUAACGGUGUCGGCUGACGGCCUGUACAGGUCCAGUAACGGCUGUGAAGCUUAUUACUCUUGAAUACAGCUACUUCAGACGACCACUGAACUAAUUUGGAGACCAGUGCAUUUUUGAAACAUUUUAUUUAACUCCCCUAGAAAACCUGCUAGAGCUCUCUAGUAUUCUUUUUAUUUUCCUUUUUUGGUUUUCUUUCUGAUCAUGAGCCAAUGCUCCAGUCUGAUGGAGCAGUUUUUUCCACACUAUGGACAUUCUCCACUCCGCUCGGUUUGCUUGGCCAUUAUGUUAAUUUGCUUUGAGUGGAAAUAACCGUUUUUUGCCCAGUUUUAGUAAGUUUUUGCAGGCUUGAGAGCAUGCAACGCACGGCAUGACUCAUGAGGGUUCCAAGAAGAGAUGGAGGAGGCUGGACCUGGUCGAUUUGCAGAGCGGCCCAUCAUACGUCACCAAGCGCAGGACACCCCAACCCACCUGGCAGCCUUGAUCUUCCAAGCAGUCUACGGAGAAAAAGAUAUGGCUUUCAUUUUGCUUUUUAUUAACUGAGUUUAGGAUAAGUUAUUUUGUGUGCUUUUCUCAUUUAAGUAAUUUGUGUCUCUUUAUGUCAAGGUUUCUGGACUCCCUGCCCCAUGACCAGGUAUGUCCAUGACAUGUUCAGGGUAAUUUGCAACAACACAAUGAAGUUGUGAUUGUACAUUUUUCUCAAAACUUACUGCAGUUGCAACAUCGACCCCUCCUGGGUCACCUAUGUAGUUAGAAAUCUGCAUGUUCAUGAUUUUAAAUGAUGAUGAUUUUUCUUAAGGCUUGAAAGUUUUAUCUUGAUGUCUGUGUGUCUUUCAACAUGCCGUGGGACGGGUCAUCGCCAUCAACAACUUGACCAACAGCUGGAGCGUCAACGAGGCGGGAGCAAACAUCAAGCAUUUGCGGCACACAGUCUGCAACCUCUGGACUUAUGUGGCUAUUUUGAAUUUUCCUCCACUUCUCACCAUGAAGGCUCUGAUGUGAAGCAGCAGAUCACAUCCCAACAGGAAACUAAAGUGUCUCAAGUCAAAGAGCUUCAGAAGAAACUAUAGCAGGAGAUCACUGAGCUGAACUAAUUACAUGUAUUGCUUUGUCAGACCAAAUGUUAUUGUUCAAAUCCGUUCUGAAGGAAACUAAUUGUCAUGUUUGUCAUCGCUAAGGACUUCAGUCAUUUCAUAGUGCUUUCUCUUAGUUCUUCAAGUUUAUUUGGAUCAAUAAAUGUCUAUCAGUCGAUCGUGGCAGAUGGCCGCUCACACUGAGCCUGGUUCUGCUGGAGGUUUCCUCCCUUUAAAGGGGAGUUUUUCCUCUCCACUGUCGCUACAUGCAUGGUCAGUAUGAGGGAUUGCUGCAAAGUCAACG